rnacentral:rRNA from 1 species
UAUCUCUGUAGAGUCUGCAUAUCAAUAAGCGGAGGAAAAGAAACUAACAAGGAUUCCCCUAGUAACGGCGAGUGAAGCGGGAAGAGCUCAAAUUUGAAAUCUUCAAGGUUCUACCUUGACGAAUUGUAGUUUAAAGAAGUGUUUUCGGUUAGAGGAGUAGUAAAAGUUCUUUGGAAUAGGACAUCAUAGAGGGUGAGAAUCCCGUAUUUGACUAUUCUUUCUAGCUUUGUGAUACACUUUCAAAGAGUCGGAUUGUUUGGGAAUGCAGUCCAAAAUGGGUGGUAAAUUUCAUCUAAAGCUAAAUAUUGGCGAGAGACCGAUAGCGAACAAGUACCGUGAGGGAAAGAUGAAAAGAACUUUGAAAAGAGAGUUAAACAGUACGUGAAAUUGUCAAAAGGGAAGCGUUUGACACCAGUGUUGUUUUUCCGAAAAUCAAUUAAAAAUGGAUUCAUGCUAAGUUGUAUUGACCUUAUCAGCUUGCAAUUUAGUUUUGGGUUUCUUUUUGAUGCACUUUUCGGUUAACAAGUCAACAUCAAUUUCCUUUGCUGUAAAAAGGCAGGAGGAAGGUGGCUUCAAUUUCGGUUGAAGUGUUUAUAGCCUUCUGUCUCUGCAGUCGGGGAGAUUGAGGUCUGCAGCGUAGAUCCUUCGGGGCUAGAUACAUUCGUGCUAAGUUAUAGCCUUUUAUAGACAACUUGUUGACUAUGAUUGGUCUUGUAAUUUACUCGCGAGUGCUAUUUUACCUACGCUUAGGAUGUUGAUCUACAGAGCGAGAGU